GACGAACGCUGGCGGCGUGCCUAAUACAUGCAAGUAGAACGCUGAAGAGAGGAGCUUGCUCUUCUUGGAUGAGUUGCGAACGGGUGAGUAACGCGUAGGUAACCUGCCUUGUAGCGGGGGAUAACUAUUGGAAACGAUAGCUAAUACCGCAUAACAAUGGGUGACACAUGUCAUUUAUUUGAAAGGGGCAAUUGCUCCACUACAAGAUGGACCUGCGUUGUAUUAGCUAGUAGGUGAGGUAACGGCUCACCUAGGCGACGAUACAUAGCCGACCUGAGAGGGUGAUCGGCCACACUGGGACUGAGACACGGCCCAGACUCCUACGGGAGGCAGCAGUAGGGAAUCUUCGGCAAUGGGGGCAACCCUGACCGAGCAACGCCGCGUGAGUGAAGAAGGUUUUCGGAUCGUAAAGCUCUGUUGUAAGUCAAGAACGAGUGUGAGAGUGGAAAGUUCACACUGUGACGGUAGCUUACCAGAAAGGGACGGCUAACUACGUGCCAGCAGCCGCGGUAAUACGUAGGUCCCGAGCGUUGUCCGGAUUUAUUGGGCGUAAAGCGAGCGCAGGCGGUUUGAUAAGUCUGAAGUUAAAGGCUGUGGCUCAACCAUAGUUCGCUUUGGAAACUGUCAAACUUGAGUGCAGAAGGGGAGAGUGGAAUUCCAUGUGUAGCGGUGAAAUGCGUAGAUAUAUGGGGGAACACCGGUGGCGAAAGCGGCUCUCUGGUCUGUAACUGACGCUGAGGCUCGAAAGCGUGGGGAGCGAACAGG
rnacentral:rRNA from 1 species